CCCAAAAGCCCUGGUCAGAACAUGAUGAAGUGGAUCCUCCACUCUUUCUCCAUUCAUGGGCAGGAUGGAGAGAAUUUCUAGAACUGGAAAAUGGAACCACAGGAGAGAAGGGGGCUAUAUCUGAAGGGCCAUGUGGAACAGCGUCCUCUUAAACAACAAAUACUGAAGAUGUAUGCCAUUGUACAGCCAAGUUUCCUUCUUAUGAUUUCUUUUUUAAAAUAAUAACAAUACCAUCCAGCAGUGGAAAAGAAUAAAAUAUAGCUACACACAACAAGUUGGAUGCAUCUCAGAAAAUCACACUGAGUGAGAAAAACCAAGUUGCAGAAGAAUUCAGUGAUUCCAUUUAUAUCAACUCAAAGCAUUCAAGACCACAGAUUGAAGAUAUCAACAUAUGUGACAAAGUACAAGGAAAAGCAAGGUUAAUGAAGUCUGGAGUCAUCCAGAACGGCUUCCUGAAGGAGGAGUGGUCUUAGCUGAUCCUUGAAGGAUGAGCAGGAUUCGGAUAAGGAAAGAGAAGAGGGAAGAGAUAGUCCCAGGCACUUUGCAUUUACAGUCGUGGGUGCAAAAAGAGGAGACGGUUGAGGAGAGAACCCUUUGGAAUGCUACCAGGGAGUAGUUAUCACAAGAGAACCCCACACUGGCCAGGUGUCUGUGUGUUCCUGCCUUUCUCCUCCUCCCUAAAGUAGCUGCUAUAAGCGACAGAACCUGGAUGGUGACCUAACCAUACCUUUCCCACUCUCCUGGGCACACCACUAAGGGGAUACCUGCUUCUUCUCUAGAGACGUCUCUGGGAAACUGGAAAGAACAUGGACAUUAUAGACAGCUUUGGAUCUGCAGCUCUGCCAUGUGCUGGCUGUGUGCACUUGGGUUUGCAGCAGCUCGGGCUGACUUAACCCAGUAGGAACAACAGGCACAGUGUUUAGGCACCACCAUAUUUUCAGGGGCCCAUAAAAACAUUUUAGUUUCAUAGCUUGGGACUCCAGAGAGCC